rnacentral:rRNA from 1 species
GAUGAACGCUGGCGGCGUGCCUAAUACAUGCAAGUCGAGCGAACAGACGAGGAGCUUGCUCCUUUGACGUUAGCGGCGGACGGGUGAGUAACACGUGGGUAACCUACCUAUAAGACUGGGAUAACUUCGGGAAACCGGAGCUAAUACCGGAUAAUAUUUCGAACCGCAUGGUUCGAUAGUGAAAGAUGGCUUUGCUAUCACUUAUAGAUGGACCUGCGCCGUAUUAGCUAGUUGGUAAGGUAACGGCUUACCAAGGCAACGAUACGUAGCCGACCUGAGAGGGUGAUCGGCCACACUGGAACUGAGACACGGUCCAGACUCCUACGGGAGGCAGCAGUAGGGAAUCUUCCGCAAUGGGCGAGAGCCUGACGGAGCAACGCCGCGUGAGUGAUGAAGGUCUUCGGAUCGUAAAACUCUGUUAUUAGGGAAGAAUAAACGUGUAAGUAACUGUGCACGUCUUGACGGUACCUAAUCAGAAAGCCACGGCUAACUACGUG